CAGCUGUGGAUGAGCCGUUGGUUGCAAUUUGCAACCUCACCACUAGAUGCCGCUAAAAUGUACACACUGCACCUUUAACUGUACAGCAACAACAAAAAUCUAAAAAUAAUACCCUGAUAGUUUAAGGUUUUGAUGACAAUCAUUUCGGCAACAUAAAUAUAUGAAAAUUAUUCAGACACUGUUGUCUUAAAAAACUUCUCUUGUCAGAAUUCCGACAUCUACAUUACUGGAAUAACAGGGAAUAUAGUUUUGGUAUUAUGUGGAUAUCGAGUCUUCACAGUCAUUCAGAAUGACAGCACAUAAAGACGCAAAUGAGCUGAUGUAAACCAAAUAUGCAAGACGUGUUCAAGUCGCCUUUGAAAAUUUGGAGACGUAACCAAUCCAUCGCAUCUCAUUAUGUCAGGUAAUUUAUUCCUUUUUAUAUGUAAAGGUGACUUUGUUUCUUGAAUUUUAAAUAUAAAUACAGUACUUGCCUAUGAUGUGGUGGUUCUUUGUAUUAUUUUGUGUGUGUGUUACCACAAAGGGAAAUUAAAGUUUAUGUUUUUAUACUGCGAGUGAGACCACAAAUGUAUACUUCUGAACUCCUGUUCCUGAAUAGAUUAAAACCACAUUUAUGUCAAUGAAGGCAAGAAAGUUUGGAAAUGACAGUUCCAAAAAUAAUGUCUGUAUGAAGUUGUCAGAAGAUAUCAAAUGAUUUCUUAACCACUUAAUAGGUUUCCAUUCUAUGGUUUCAAGUCUUGAUUCACUUUUGGCAAAGCCGCUCAGCAGAAUUCUGGGCAUCAGGAGUUCAGUAUUUGAGUAACGUCAACCUCAUGUCGUGAGAUGGCUGAUAGUUUCACAAAAUACUCUCUAAAUUACAUAAUCUGUUAAGUCGAAUCAGUUAAAGUUUCUGUAAAUGCGCUCUCUGUUCUGCUCUCUUUCUCUUUCCAGUUUUUUACACUGUUGCUGAAAGAAAAUAAAGUUUCCCAUAGAAACUUCACAGAUGAGAUUUCAGUAAUAUCACAGCUGUUUCUCCUAGAAAGCAACUGGACUAUAUACUUGGUUUUACAAGUCAUGUGUUGCUGUAACUUAAUAAAGUUAAAUAAACGAAGCUACAAAAAGUUACAGUAAAUCAUGACUAGUAAUGAAAUAAAAAAUCAAAGUUGAAAUUAAUUUUAUUAUAGGCUCCUGGAAAAAUUAAAUGCAAAAAAAUGUUUUUACAUAACCAUGAUU